CCCAUCUUCCUCGUUGCCCCUCUCCCCUGGUCGCACAGUAGCACGCCGACGUUCCUCCUCCACCCGUGCUUUGACCGCAUCGCUUUUUGCUGCGCAAGAAAAUCGCGCCGGCCAAGAAAUAGAGAGGUGGUGAUAGCAAUCCGGUGUUCCCAUGGGUUGCCAGUCUCCAUCUAUUUCGCGUCGAUUUGGAAGACCCCACCCAAAUUGACUGCUUCUUCUCCGGUCAUGGCGCCGGCACGGGUCGGAUGGUGGGCAGGCAGCAAAGCGGACUCCCCCCAUGCGGGCCUACGAUUCGUUGAUUCGCCUUUCGACCAGGUUCAACUUCCGACGAACGCCUCCCCUUCCAUUCGUUUGGGCGUUAUCGUAACCAUUAUCUGCAAAUUGAAACCGUCGGCGUCGUAAUCAUGGUGGUAUUGCCAUGCAUGUUCAUCUGAGAUUUUUAUUCAGGGCCUCAGGGGCCGCUGCGUGACCUUCAUCUACAACCAUGUCUUCUGGACAGGUACACUCAUUCAUACAAUUUGCUCUUUAUGAAUCCAUUUUAAUAUUUCUUACAUCUAUUGUUUACUUUCAGUUUCUUCUUUACUAUAUGCGAGAUGUUCAAUGUGUAGUCCAAAUGAAAUCUCACUUGGGGGCUUGUGAGAUAUUCAGAAAUUUUGGUUGGUUAACCAUGUUGCUAUUUAUUAUCGUCAGAUGUUGCUUUCUAGAUUUGUUCUCUUGUCGAUUUGAGUCAGGGAGGGAGCACAUAGCUUUUGCUUGAUUUGUUGAAGGAUUACUUACCUCCACUUUUCUUUGCCUGGUUGCAACCUUUAUACUUUAUUAAUUAAUGGGCCAUCCAUUCUUCAUAGACCCAACUGAGUGACUUAUGUAACCCUGUGCUCUUGCAGUGCUUUGGUUUCUCAAGAAAGCUUGCAGAGUUUCUUAAAUUAUGUCAACUUGUUGUCGUGUUGUUGGCCUGAAUAAGAAGAGCCAUACAUGUUCUAUACUGCAAAAAAAUCAUCAUAUUUUUUUCUCUUGCAACUUGAUGUGAUAUGUUUUUUGUAUUGAGAAACUAGCCUCUUGUCUUUGAAGUAGCAUGCGACAGAACGUUUGAGUGCUGAGAAUGUGUAGGACAUGCACACUCCAUCCACGACAUGGAGCUCCUCGCAGCCAUGCCCCAGGCUUACUAAUGGUCACCAAAGUUACAACCAUUGUGGAGAUGUCAUCUAUUUUGGCUGGUCUAUAUAAAAUGUGAAUUUCAUUAUGUCAAUGUGCAAGUACUCUACUGAUAUGAUAUAUAUUCUGGCCCCACAUGCGAAUGAGGCAUUUUCACCGGUUCUAAUCUAGGUGAUUGAGUCCCAGCUAAUAAGGAGAAUGAUCCAUUGAUUGUUGCCAGAUAAGCUAUCGCAGAUUUACUUACCCUUCUUAAUUUAACUAUGGAAUCUAUUAUUAUUUUACUCAUACUUUCUACUUUGAACAUAAUUCUGUACUGCCAGAUUCUUUUUCAAGACCUGCUCAAAAGGAAUAUUGCAUUUUUUUCGGUGGAACGUAUUCCCCAAAGUACAUGAUGCUGACCAUGGAAGAAUCAUCUUUGGUGAACUUCGAAGUAGAUCAUCUUCAAGCCAUAUCCAUCACUGGUUCUUAUCCUUCAGAUUGAAAAUUGGGGCAACAACUUCUUCGCGGAGGAAGAGCACGGAAUCAUCAAGCAUCCGAUCAGAGAGUAAAAACUAACUGAACACCAGUCAAUGACCAACAUGUGAUAACACUUACCUUGUCCUGGAUGAAGAGGAAAGGAUGGCCAACCAUAGGCCUUGAGUUGCAAUAUAAGCAACAAUUGACAGCUUGUGUGUGCUCAGCAAAAAUUUAACAUUUGUAUUAUGUCAUCUCAACUUAUACUAUGGAGUAGUAUAAGGAGAUACUGUAAAGUUUUAGCAACAUAACUGUUGGUUAGGUAAGUUUCAUUAUAUGUCUACUUGGAAAAUAAUUCUAGGUAUGUGGAGAGGGUGCAUCUUUUUUCGUGUUA